GACGAACGCUGGCGGCGUGCUUAACACAUGCAAGUCGAACGCUGAAGCUUGGUGCUUGCACUGGGUGGAUGAGUGGCGAACGGGUGAGUAAUACGUGAGUAACCUGCCCUUGACUCUGGGAUAAGCCUGGGAAACUGGGUCUAAUACUGGAUACGACAUGCCACUGCAUGGUGGUGUGUGGAAAGGGUUUUACUGGUUUUGGAUGGGCUCACGCCCUAUCAGCUUGUUGGUGGGGUAAUGGCCUACCAAGGCGACGACGGGUAGCCGACCUGAGAGGGUGAUCGGCCACACUGGAACUGAGACGCGGUCCAGACUCCUGCGGGAGGCAGCAGUAGGGCAUCGUCCGCGAUGGGCGAAAGGCUGACGGAGCGGCGCCGCGUGAGUGAUGAAGGUCUUCGGAUCGUAAAACUCUGUUAUGAGGGAAGAACAAAUGUGGAAGUAACUAUGCACGUCUUGACGGUACCUAAUCAGAAAGCCACGGCUAACUACGUG
rnacentral:rRNA from 1 species